AGAGUUUGAUCCUGGCUCAGGAUGAACGCUGGCGGCGUGCUUAACACAUGCAAGUCGAACGGAGUUUUAAUGAAUGAUUGACUUAGCUUGCUAUCGAGAGAUUUCAUUAAAACUUAGUGGCGGACGGGUGAGUAACGCGUGGGUAACCUGCCGUAUACAGGGGGACAACAGUUGGAAACGACUGCUAAUACCGCAUAAGCGCACAGUAUUGCAUGAUACAGUGUGAAAAACUCCGGUGGUAUACGAUGGACCCGCGUCUGAUUAGCUAGUUGGUGAGGUAACGGCCCACCAAGGCGACGAUCAGUAGCCGGCCUGAGAGGGUGAACGGCCACAUUGGGACUGAGACACGGCCCAAACUCCUACGGGAGGCAGCAGUGGGGAAUAUUGCACAAUGGGGGAAACCCUGAUGCAGCGACGCCGCGUGAGUGAAGAAGUAUUUCGGUAUGUAAAGCUCUAUCAGCAGGGAAGAAAAUGACGGUACCUGACUAAGAAGCCCCGGCUAACUACGUGCCAGCAGCCGCGGUAAUACGUAGGGGGCAAGCGUUAUCCGGAUUUACUGGGUGUAAAGGGAGCGUAGACGGUUAAGUAAGUCUGAAGUGAAAGCCCGGUGCUCAACGCCGGGACUGCUUUGGAAACUAUUUAACUGGAGUGCAGGAGAGGUAAGUGGAAUUCCUAGUGUAGCGGUGAAAUGCGUAGAUAUUAGGAGGAACACCAGUGGCGAAGGCGGCUUACUGGACUGUAACUGACGUUGAGGCUCGAAAGCGUGGGGAGCAAACAGGAUUAGAUACCCUGGUAGUCCACGCCGUAAACGAUGAUUACUAGGUGUCGGGGGUUAUAACCUUCGGGGCCCCAGCAAAC
rnacentral:rRNA from 1 species